rnacentral:lncRNA from 1 species
ACUCUCUCGCUCCCUCGACACCGGACUCAAGGAUCACCACUUCGCUUCCGCUACGAAGGGCAAAAGAUUACCCCUGGUAUCAGUAGGGUAAAACACUUGAGCACCGCAGCAGAUUAUCAAACCAAAGGAAGAAGAAGGAAGAAAAUAGCAAAGCAAACACAAAGAUGUAACGAGGUUCGGCUACAAGUAGCCUACGUCCUCCA